ACCUCGGAUCAGGUAGG
rnacentral:rRNA from 1 species